rnacentral:rRNA from 1 species
CAGUAGCCGCGGUAAUACGUAGGGCGCAAGCGUUGUCCGGAAUUAUUGGGCGUAAAGAGCUCGUAGGCGGUCUGUCGCGUCUGGUGUGAAAUCCCGAGGCUCAACCUCGGGCUUGCAUCGGGUACGGGCAGACUAGAGUGCGGUAGGGGAGACUGGAAUUCCUGGUGUAGCGGUGGAAUGCGCAGAUAUCAGGAGGAACACCGAUGGCGAAGGCAGGUCUCUGGGCCGCAACUGACGCUGAGGAGCGAAAGCAUGGGGAGCGAACAGGAUUAGAUACCCCCGUAGUCCUGUCUCUUAUACC